UACCCGCUGUUUAAGCAUAUCACUAAGCGGAGGAGAAGAAACUAACCAGGAUUUCCCUAGUAACGGCGAGCGAACCGGAAAGAGCCCAGCUUGAAAAUCGUGGUGCCUCGCACCUCGAAUUGUAGUCUGGAGAAGCAUCCUCUGCAGCGGACCGGACCCAAGUUCCCUGGAAAGGGACGUCGGAGAGGGUGACAACCCCGUCGAGUCCGGACCCUGUUGCUCCACGAGGUGCUGUCGUCGAGUCGGACUGUUUGGGAAUGCAGUCCUAAGUGGGUGGUAAAUUCCAUCCAAGGCUAAAUAUUGGCAAGAGACCGAUAGCGAACAAGUACCGCGAGGGAAAGAUGAAAAGGACUUUGAAAAGAGAGUUAAAAAGUGCUUGAAAUUGCUGGGAGGGAAGCGAAUGGAAGCUGCGGGUGUGCCCCGGUUGGAUGUGGAACGGCUCGGGCUGGUCCGCCGCUCAACGCGGGGCACUGGUCAGCGUGGGCUGCUGCGGCGGGACAAGAGUGGGGAUUCGUUUCCUGCCUAUGCCGUUGCGGCGGCCGAGGAACGAAGCAUGCGCCCCCCUCGGGGGGCGUGGGGGAGGGGGUUUCUCCCCCCCCAACUGCAUGCUCGGGACGCUGGSGUAUUGAGCUCUUCAUCCGACCCGUCUUGAAACACGGACCAAGGAGUCUAACAUGUAUGCGAGCCGGUGGGCGGCAAACCCAUUGAGGCGCAAGUAAACUGACAGGUGGGACCCCCGUAAGAAAGGGAGCACCAUCGACCGACCGUGAUCUUCUGUGAAAGGUUUGAGUGUGAGCAUACCUGUUGGGACCCGAAAGAUGGUGAACUAUGCCUGAGCAGGGCGAAGCCAGAGGAAACUCUGGUGGAGGCUCGUAGCGAUACUGACGUGCAAAUCGUUCGUCAGACUUGGGUAUAGGGGCGAAAGACUAAUCGAACCAUCUAGUAGCUGGUUCCCUCCGAAGUUUCCCUCAGGAUAGMUGGAGSUYGUAUAAGAGUUUUAUCAGGUAAAGCGAAUGAUUAGAGGCAUCGGGGGUGUAACACCCUCGACMUAUUCUCAAACUUUAAAUAGGUAARCCGCCGGGGUUGCUUGGUUGAACCCCGGCACAGAAUGAGAGCUCCAAGUGGGCCAU
rnacentral:rRNA from 1 species